rnacentral:rRNA from 1 species
UGGGGAAUCUUGCGCAAUGGGCGAAAGCCUGACGCAGCCAUGCCGCGUGAGUGAUGAAGGCCUUAGGGUUGUAAAACUCUUUCACCGGGGACGAUAAUGACGGUACCCGGAGAAGAAGCCCCGGCUAACUUCGUGCCAGCAGCCGCGGUAAUACGAAGGGGGCUAGCGUUGCUCGGAAUUACUGGGCGUAAAGGGCGCGUAGGCGGAUCAGCAAGUUGGGGGUGAAAGCCCGGGGCUCAACCUCGGAAUUGCCUUCAAAACUGCUGAUCUAGAGUACGGGAGAGGUGUGUGGAACUCCGAGUGUAGAGGUGAAAUUCGUAGAUAUUCGGAAGAACACCAGUGGCGGAGGCGACACACUGGCCCGUUACUGACGCUGAGGCGCGAGAGCGUGGGGGAGCAAAACAGGAUUAGAUACCCUGGUAGUCCACGCUGUAAAACGAUGAUUGCUAGUUGUCGGCAGGCAUGCCUGUCGGUGACGCAGCUAACGCAUUAAGCAAUCCGCCUGGGGAGUACGGUCGCAAGAUUAAAAACUCAAAGGAAUUGACGGGGGUCAUAGCUG